rnacentral:rRNA from 1 species
CACGUAGGGUGCGAGCGUUGUCCGGAAUUAUUGGGCGUAAAGAGUUCGUAGGCGGUGUGUCGCGUCGGCCGUGAAAACCUGCAGCUUAACUGUGGGCUUGCGGUCGAUACGGGCAUCACUGGAGUUCGGCAGGGGAGACUGGAAUUCCUGGUGUAGCGGUGAAAUGCGCAGAUAUCAGGAGGAACACCGAUGGCGAAGGCAGGUCUCUGGGCCACUACUGACGCUGAGAAGCGAAAGCAUGGGGAGCGAACAGG